CCCAGACAGCCAGGAUGUUGGCUUAGAAGCAGCCAUCAUUUAAAGAAAGCGUAAUAGCUCACUGGUCGAGUCGGCCUGCGCGGAAGAUGUAACGGGGCUAAACCAUGCACCGAAGCUGCGGCAGCGACACUGUGUGUUGUUGGGUAGGGGAGCGUUCUGUAAGCCUGUGAAGGUGUGUCGUGAGGCAUGCUGGAGGUAUCAGAAGUGCGAAUGCUGACAUAAGUAACGAUAAAGCGGGUGAAAAGCCCGCUCGCCGGAAGACCAAGGGUUCCUGUCCAACGUUAAUCGGGGCAGGGUGAGUCGACCCCUAAGGC
rnacentral:rRNA from 2 species